rnacentral:rRNA from 1 species
UACGGAGGGGACUAGCGUUGUUCGGAAUUACUGGGCGUAAAGCGCACGUAGGCGGAUUUGUAAGUCAGGGGUGAAAUCCCGGGGCUCAACCUCGGAACUGCCUUUGAUACUGCAAAUCUCGAGUCCGGAAGAGGUGAGUGGAAUUCCUAGUGUAGAGGUGAAAUUCGUAGAUAUUAGGAAGAACACCAGUGGCGAAGGCGACUCACUGGACAUGUAUUGACGCUGAGGUGCGAAAGCGUGGGGAGCAAACAGG